CAAAGUCUGGAGGAGGCACCUUCAAUCAGUACUCAUUGUCAGGAAGAAGCUGAGGUUGAGACUGAGGCCUGGUGCUUGGAUGAUCAGGGUGAGAAAGGCUCUACAGCAAAAACUGAAGACAGUAGCCGGGAGAAAAUAGCACGUUUCUUGCUUCGAUUGCAAUGUGAGCAUGGGAUGUCACGGGCUGCAACAUCUUUCGUGGCUAGUGAGAUAGGAGAAAUCGUCGACACCGCUCUUAAGGAGCAGAAUGCGAGCAGAGCAUCAAAGUCGUCUUCAGUUAAGCAGGCUUGUGAAGAGUUUGCAAGCGAGUAUAAAUUGAGCAAAUUCUGCCAUGAGGAGCUCUGCUACAUUGCACCUACGACUCAGAUCCUUACCACAGGGGGUGGUGAAUUCCAAUCCAGCUAUCAGUAUGUGGAUGUCAAGAAACAGCUGACAAGUCUCUUGGAAAAUGGCAGGCUGGAAAACUGCAAACGGGACAGAUUGGUCAAGCUUGUGCUCUACUUUGAUGAAUUUGGUGUGUGUAACCCUCUGCGGAAGAAAGCAUCUGAUUAUAGUCUGGGUGGUUGCUAUUUUGCGGUCGAUGAGGGCUUGUCAAUGUCGGUGCUGAGUGACAUUCAUCUCCUCCUACUAUGUCCUACAAAGCUCACCAAGCUUCAUGGUUUGAACACAGUCAUGAAGCCUGUGACAGAUUCCCUGUGUGACCUCUUGAACAAUGGCCUGGAUACUUGUGGCACUCAUUUUGAUAUCAAAGUGGAGUUUGUGUGUGGUGACAACCUGGGAGUGCAUAAGAUGGCGGGCUUCCAGGAAUCAUUUUCGUCAGGGCAGCGACCAUGCCGAACAUGCCACGCCACAAAUGAGGACUUUGGUACAAAGCUCACAGAGCAAGAGCUGACCCUUCGUACUGAGGAGGAGUACCAAGAAGAGCUGAGCAUGUGUGAGAAUGGAAACAAUGAGGAAUCACGAAAAGCAUUUGGUAUCAAGUCAAAAUAUGUGUUUGAUGAGCUGAAAGACUUUAAGGUCACAGAGAUGUUUCCACCAGAUAUCGCGCACGAUCUGUUUGAAAGUGGCGUAGUCAAUCAUUCCUUGGCUCUGGUGCUAUCAUACCUGAUUUUUCAAAUCAAACUCUUCACAUUCGCCUCAGUUCAAAAGGCUAUGAAAUCCUUCUCAUAUGCGAGAGUCGACAAAGCGAACACUCCUCCCAUGCUUCAAGCAAAGGGGCGCAAAGUGCUCGUCAAAGGCACUUUCAGUCAGUGCUGGACUUUCCUCCGAGUUCUCCCUUUCAUGAUCGGUCCACUGGUCCCACCAGAUCAAAAGGCGUGGCUUCUUGUGACCGGUUUGCUUUCUCUUGUACAACUCAUUUGUGCUCCACGUAUGGACGGUGAAAUUCUUGUAAGAAUGCAACCUUCAGUAGAGCAGUGGCUGCGUGAGUUCUGUGGAAUGUUCCCGGACUUCAAAAUCAAGCCGAAGUUCCACUACUUAUUACAUUACCGGCACUGGGCAGCACAAAUUGGUUCCUUGAGGAAAGCUUGGACUAUGCUUUUUGAAGCCAAACACCAGCAGUUCAAGAUCUACGCAUCUCGAGCACACAACACCAAGAACAUUUGUAAAACCCUGGCAGUGCGACACCAAGAAGCGGUAGCUGCAUGCGAAGGAAAGCAAAAGAAGAUGAUGGGGAAGGAAUGCAAGCCAUGCCUAGUUACAGGUGCAUUCGGAUGGGAGGUGGAUGACCGAGCUACGUACACCAAGAUGGCAGUGCUUGCGGGACAGAAGUACUGCGUCGAUGAUGUGCUGAUCGUGAGAAACCCGGCUGCUUCAAGCUCAGAGAGCUGUGAUCUUCUUCGCGUAGCAUAUUUUCAGUUUGAUGCAGUAAACCAUGUCAAAAUCAUCGGUGACGUCUUGAGGGCGCUUUCGUUUGAUGAGCACUAUAUGGCAUACCGUGUGACUAAGGGCGAGAUGAUGAUGAUCCCUUCUGCUUGGAUUUUUGACCCCACUCCGCUGGCUACUUAUUCAGUGCAGACCGCAAAAUACGUGCCCCUCAGGUACCAGAUACCAGGUCUCCGAAUCACCUCUGAAAGCGGUCAACGAUGAAGGCGCUAGUAAACCAUCAAAGUGCUGCGAGCGUCUUCGAAUUCGAGUCUGUCCUGGACCUUGUUCAAAAGGUUCGAGCGUUCUUCGGUCUGCAGGGUGGCGAGUGGGAUCUGGAGAUCUAUGAUGACGACUGGUCCUCGUGGGUCCUGCUGAAUGAGGAAGAUGCGAUAACUGGUGUUCGGCCUCGCAUCAGGACCGUCAUGCGUGGCGAUCUGGUUGUUCUUGAAAGCACUGGGACGACA
rnacentral:misc_RNA from 1 species